UUGUGAAUUUUUGGAGGUUAUGGAUGACCACCAUUACACUCUCCAUUAAACCCCCAUUACCUCCACCAUUAUUCACCAUUAAGGUCUUGUAACUCAUGACCUUUGACUAGCUUUUCUACACCUAUAAAUUAGGUGCAAUGUAUUGUAUUUUGUACACUUGAAUAUAUGGAAUAAUAUAUUACAUAUUCUCUCUACUUUAUUCUCUACUUCUUGUAUAUUGUUUAUUAGUUUCUCAACACGUUAUCAGCACGAUUGUUCUAUUUUCAUUUUCGAGUAAAGAUGAUCCAAAGAAGAUAAUUACUUCUCAACCAUAGAAGAUGAAAAGGGAGUUGUUUUCAAAUAUUUUAUUGUUGUUUUAAUUUAAUUAAAUAUUAAUCAUCUUAUUUUUGUUGUAGGUGAAUUUUCGUGCAAUUCACGAGUCUGUACUUUGAUGUCUGUUUUGGACAUGAUAUUGUCCGAAUUUCAGAAAAUGCAAAAUACGAAACUUGUAGCAUUUUCUGUUGGCUGUUCGGAACAGUUUGAAUCAUCAAAAUUGGAUCUCGAUCAAGAGAGAUAUGCUUAAAAUACUCAGCUCUGCCAGAGCUGUCCCUUGUGCAAUUUUUUUUGAGAUGAACAUAAUGUUCUAAAAAGAAAAGGGACGAUUAUAGGCCUAGAGCCUAGAUUAAAUACGAGAUUAGAAAUAUCGAUUGAACAUAAGUCUAGAUGAUAAGACUCUUGAGCAUUUGAGUUAAUGGGUAUUCCCCAUUUAUAGUACGAUUCUUUCAUGAUCAAAGUACUAUAACGAUUUUUAUUAUAUAUUGAGGCUUGACGCCCAAAUCGAGCACGUGCAAUCAAGUGACUCGAAGAUUUGAGUGAUAUAUUAAA